GUGCCAGCCGCCGCGGUAAUACGUAGGUGGCAAGCGUUGUCCGGAUUUAUUGGGCGUAAAGCGAGCGCAGGCGGUUUCUUAAGUCUGAUGUGAAAGCCUUCGGCUCAACCGAAGAAGUGCAUCGGAAACUGGGAAACUUGAGUGCAGAAGAGGACAGUGGAACUCCAUGUGUAGCGGUGAAAUGCGUAGAUAUAUGGAAGAACACCAGUGGCGAAGGCGGCUGUCUGGUCUGUAACUGACGCUGAGGCUCGAAAGCAUGGGUAGCAAACAGGAUUAGAUACCCUGGUAGUCCAUGCCGUAAACGAUGAGUGCUAGGUGUUGGAGGGUUUCCGCCCUUCAGUGCCGCAGCUAACGCAUUAAGCACUCCGCCUGGGGAGUACGACCGCAAGGUUGAAACUCAAAGGAAUUGACGGGGGCCCGCACAAGCGGUGGAGCAUGUGGUUUAAUUCGAAGCAACGCGAAGAACCUUACCAGGUCUUGACAUCCUUUGACCACUCUAGAGAUAGAGCUUUCCCUUCGGGGACAAAGUGACAGGUGGUGCAUGGUUGUCGUCAGCUCGUGUCGUGAGAUGUUGGGUUAAGUCCCGCAACGAGCGCAACCCUUAUUACUAGUUGCCAGCAUUAAGUUGGGCACUCUAGUGAGACUGCCGGUGACAAACCGGAGGAAGGUGGGGACGACGUCAAAUCAUCAUGCCCCUUAUGACCUGGGCUACACACGUGCUACAAUGGAUGGUACAACGAGUUGCGAGACCGCGAGGUUUAGCUAAUCUCUUAAAACCAUUCUCAGUUCGGAUUGUAGGCUGCAACUCGCCUACAUGAAGCCGGAAUCGCUAGUAAUCGCGGAUCAGCAUGCCGCGGUGAAUACGUUCCCGGGCCUUGCACACACCGCCCGU
rnacentral:rRNA from 1 species